GAGGCCCUUUCCAUAUUCCGCUUCAUUCUCCCCUCCUGGCGUGCCUCAAGGAACGACCACUGUCCCCAGGUUACAGGUGCUUCUUCACCCCAACAAGGCUCAAUCAAGUGUGUUCUUCUCUGGGAAGCUGCAGACAUCUGACCCCAGGCCACAGAGUCAUACCCAGUCUGGCUCCCACAGCCCUCCCAGGCUGUCUGGUGUCAGUGCAGUGCUGUGGAUGGGAACACACCUCUACCAUGUUGAGCUGCUCUGAGGUUUAAAUGCGUUACUGCUAAUUGGGAUCUUGGAACAACUCCUGGUGCAUAGACACACACAGGACAGACUGGAAUAAAUACUGGUGGUUUAUCACAGGAAGGCUGGCCUCAGCUUGGGAGAGUAAGCGUGCAUGCAUACACAGCCAGCUGAUUUAUUGUGAC
rnacentral:lncRNA from 1 species